GACGAACGCUGGCGGCGUGCCUAAUACAUGCAAGUGGGACGCAAGGAAACACACUGUGCUUGCACACCGUGUUUUCUUGAGUCGCGAACGGGUGAGUAACGCGUAGGUAACCUGCCUAUUAGCGGGGGAUAACUAUUGGAAACGAUAGCUAAUACCGCAUAAUAUUAAUUAUUGCAUGAUAAUUGAUUGAAAGAUGCAAGCGCAUCACUAGUAGAUGGACCUGCGUUGUAUUAGCUAGUUGGUAAGGUAAGAGCUUACCAAGGCGACGAUACAUAGCCGACCUGAGAGGGUGAUCGGCCACACUGGGACUGAGACACGGCCCAGACGCCUACGGGAGGCAGCAGUAGGGAAUCUUCGGCAAUGGACGAAAGUCUGACCGAGCAACGCCGCGUGAGUGAAGAAGGUUGUCGGAUCGUAAAGCUCUGUUGUAAGUCAAGAACGUGUGUGAGAGUGGAAAGUUCACACAGUGACGGUAGCUUACCAGAAAGGGACGGCUAACUACGUG
rnacentral:rRNA from 1 species